UCUGUUAUGGAUUGUCAGAAGGUCUUUAUUGUGUUGCGGUUGUUGUUGGGAAAUAAAUAAAUUUAGAGAGUUAUCCUUAUUGCAUUCUAUUAUAAACUGCACUACAGUGAUUUAGAAGAGUUUCUGCUAAAGAUUGUGAUUUGAAUAUCUUCACUUUGUAGUUAAACAGUAGCGAUGGUAACGAUCCUUAAAAUUACAAAUGUAAAUUGUUUGUAGUUUGUUUAUCGUCCCUUCAAGACUUCACGCCUCCGACGUUUGUUGUGAAAUUUGACUAACGGAUAUUUAGAAAAGAAGCCCGAAACAGACUAACGUCUAUAACAUAAAGAUAAAGAUAUACAGAAUACGAAAAAAGUUUUAAAUAAAACAAUAUAAUUGU